CGGGGCGUAGCGCAGUCCGGUUAGCGUGUCUGCUUUGGGAGCAGAAGGUCGCAGGUUCGAAUCCUGCCGCCCCGA
rnacentral:tRNA from 1 species